CUCCUCCGGGCCUUCCGGCCUGAGAACUGAAUUGAGGCCCAGAAGUGGCAGGACACCAUCGGUGAUCGUGCUCAUGCCCUGCCCUUGGGGUGACCCCAUUAAAGCAGGACAAGUCACGAGAGGCCCCUGGCAGGAAAGACUAAUCCUGUGCUGACUCGGCAAGUGAAGGGCGCCUUGGGGCUACCGAGGCAGGGACAGAGAGCGCGCUGACUCCAGGAUUCCUGGGAUUUAAGAAGUCCAGGGACCAUCCAGAGGGUCUGGAGCACGUGCCCCUACUCCAGACAGCGCUGCGGGCACCUCGGGCCUCCGGAUGCCCCAAACCAAAGGCUAAGUAAGCGCUCACCCAGGGGGACGGGGCUGACCGAGGAGGGCCCGGCUGGGGGGCGGCCACCAGGCGGCGGGAGGAAAGUCUGCGGAGGCGAUUCCCGCACCCAGGAGAGAACGCUGAAGUGUUGGGAGGUCGGGCCGGCGCGGUCCUCCUGGCCGCCGGCCUGGC
ensembl:lncRNA